UACAGAGGGUGCAAGCGUUAAUCGGAAUUACUGGGCGUAAAGCGCACGUAGGUGGAUAUUUAAGUCGGAAGUGAAAGCCCUGGGCUUAACCUGGGAAUUGCCUCCGAUACUGGAUAUCUAGAGUAUGGUAGAGGAUAGUGGAAUUUCCGGUGUAGCGGUGAAAUGCGUAGAUAUCGGAAGGAACACCAGUGGCGAAAGCGGCUAUCUGGACCAAUACUGACACUUAGGUGCGAAAGCGUGGGGAGCAAACAGG
rnacentral:rRNA from 1 species